rnacentral:rRNA from 1 species
AAAGGGUGACGAAGCGACGCCGCGUGUGGGAAGAAGGCCUUCGGGUUGUAAACNACUGUCGGGAGUUAAGAAGUGUAAGGGUGUUAAGAGCAUCCUUGCUUGACGUUAGCUCCGGAGGAAGCCACGGCUAACUCUGUGCCAGCAGCCGCGGUAAUACAGAGGUGGCAAGCGUUGUUCGGAAUUAUUGGGCGUAAAGAGCACGUAGGCGGCCCUGCAAGUCAGCUGUGAAAUCCUUCUGCUCAACGGAAGAACGGCAGUUGAUACUACAGGGCUCGAGUGCGGGAGGGGAGAGUGGAACUUCUGGUGGAGCGGUGAAAUGCGUAGAUAUCAGAAGGAACAUCGGCGGCGAAAGCGACUCUCUGGCCCGUAACUGACGCUGAGGUGCGAAAGCUAGGGGAGCAAACGGGAUUAGAUACCCCGGUAGUCCUAGCCGUAAACGAUGGGCACUAAGUAGAGGGGUUU